GUAGAGUCUCAAAGUAAAAAUGAGCUAAACAACGGAAGGGCAAAGUAAAACUUUUGAAUCAUGAAAUGACAAAGUACAAAUAAGCUAAACCACAAAUGGGCAAUUUGAAGUUACCCUAAUAUUUUUUUGUGCUUUUUAUAGAAUAUAAUUUUUUUUUAACUGUCAUUACUAUCCAAAUUAGGAAAAAAUUUACUAUGUCACACUUACACCAUAUUAUCAAUAAACAGCUAAUCACAUUUUCUCUUUUUAAAAGAAGAGUAUAAUUUUUUUUUUUCUAAUAACCAGGAUGGAAUGAGUAAGGGUUAGUUUGGUAUAUCUGUUAGAUAAAAUGGAGCUAGAAAAAAAGCAUAUAGGGAUAUGCUUUUGCGUUCUUCAGUGGGACCGUAGAAAAUAUAUAAUAACCGACUCAUCACAAUAUGCGGAACAUAAUAUUACGUACGGAAACAAACAUAGUAUUUUUCCAUCAUACUUUCUCACCGCUCGUAACACAAUCUCCCUGCAAUCCCAAACGAAGUCUAAAUCCAAGAAAAAUAAUCUGAUUGGUUAGGAAUGCUGCAUCAUCAAUAUAACCAGUACAUUCUAAAUUUUUUAUUUUUAUUUUUUCCAAAUUAGACCUUUAUGGGCUUGUUCAUA
rnacentral:lncRNA from 1 species